rnacentral:rRNA from 1 species
AUACGUAGGGUGCGAGCGUUGUCCGGAAUGAUUGGGCGUAAAGGGCGCGUAGGCGGCGCGGUAAGUCUGGAGUGAAAGUCCUGCUUUCAAGGUGGGAAUUGCUUUGGAUACUGCCGCGCUUGAGUGCAGGAGAGGUUAUCGGAAUUCCCGGUGUAGCGGUGAAAUGCGUAGAGAUCGGGAGGAACACCAGUGGCGAAGGCGGGUAACUGGACUGCAACUGACGCUGAGGCGCGAAAGUGUGGGGAGCAAACAGGAUGAGAUACCCCGGUAGUCCUGGCCGUAAACGAUGAAUGCUAGGUGUGGGUGUCGAGAGGCAUCCGUGCCGGAGUUAACGCGAUAAGCAUUCCGCCUGGGGAGUACGGUCGCAAGAUUGAAACUCAAAUGAAUUGACGGGG